ACGGAAGGCAGCAGUAGGGAAUCUUCCACAAUGGACGCAAGUCUGACGGAGCAACGCCGCGUGAAUGAAGAAGGCCUUCGGGUCGUAAAGUUCUGUUGUUAGAGAAGAACAUGCAGGAGAGUAACUGUUCUUGUAUUGACGGUAUCUAACCAGAAAGCCACGGCUAACUACGUGCCAGCAGCCGCGGUAAUACGUAGGUGGCAAGCGUUGUCCGGAUUUAUUGGGCGUAAAGGGAACGCAGGCGGUUUUUUAAGUCUGAUGUGAAAGCCUUCGGCUCAACCGAAGAAUUGCAUUGGAAACUGGAAGACUUGAGUGCAGAAGAGGAGAGUGGAACUCCAUGUGUAGCGGUGGAAUGCGUAGAUAUAUGGAAGAACACCAGUGGCGAAAGCGGCUCUCUGGUCUGUAACUGACGCUGAGGAUCGAAAGCGUGGGUAGCAAACAGGAUUAGAUACCCUGGUA
rnacentral:rRNA from 1 species